CUUUCUUGACAUCUCUUUCUUCUCAUACAGGCCAUGCCUUGCAAGUCUAUGUUUGGGUUCAUUUUUCUUUGCAUAAUCCAAAGAAUCAUAA